UUUGGUCUACUUUGGACGAAUCACAAGUAGGGUUUCAUUUAGGAGAUUUAUGAUGGACGAAUCAAAGUUGCUCUUUCAGCACUUGGCUUCCUCCUCGGUAUCUUACGUUUGCUGUGGCUCCGGGCAACGCAAAGCGUGGUGGGUGGUGAGCACGUCGGUCUCCUUUACGCCCUCCGAUUGGUCGGACAUGUACUCUCCUCAGUUUCGAUUGGAUGGCCGUGCUUGUCAAUCACAUCUCCUUAGCCACCAAACCCUCGGACAACAACCACAGGACCGUUUAAUCCCUUCUGGCUGUCAGGGUUGAGAUUGCGCAGCCCCGCGGCGGAGCGGCCGGGCCAAUCCUCCUGCAGCUUUUGACAUGUACCAAAGCAAGGAUCAGUGAAACCAAGAGACAGACUGGGGAAGAGGCCCGAGGUCAAAUAGGCCUUUUUCAUCACUGCCACGCUAUCCAGGAAGCUGGCCCACACUUACAGAGGAGUGUCUUCCCUAACUGCUACCCAGAAUUUGUAAAGAUUUUGUGCCCAGCCUAUAGCCUUUGAUCAAAAGACCAGGCCAGUGAAAGGAAACAGGGCGAAGUCUGCAUCCUCCACUGUGGAAGCAGGAAGGGAAAACAAACAACAACCAAAAGCAAUACAUGAUUUGCAAACUGCGGUCCUUGAACCUGUGUCCUUAGACAAAAUAUGGAGACACUGGGAAGCAAACUAUUCGGUCUGAAUCGGAUGUAGAGUAUUCAGUCACCCACCCACACCCUCCCCGCCCCUGCAGUCUCUCUACGUAGCUCUAGCUGUCCUGGAACAAACUCACUCUCAAGUGUGAAUCAUUUGUUCUGCUGUUGAUGGAGGCCAAGGACAGCCAGUGCUGCACAGAGAAGAAAUCCUGUCUCAAAACAAACAGAAAACAACAACAUCAAACAAACCAAAACAAACCCUUUUCCUUUUGAUACCAAAAAAAAAAAAAAAUCCAUGAACUUUUUGUACACAUUUUCUCAAAAGAAAAGUACUUUGUCACAUGGAAUUCAAGCUUCUGUGCCCGUAAGUGAAGUGUGAUUGCCACACCGUGUGCUCAUUUGUUUGUUUUUAUGUUGAUGGUGCCUCGUUUCCCUGGAAUAACAAGAGCUGGGCCGUAAUCACAGAUGACGGAGUUCAUAGCUUAAAAUACUUCCUUCUGGGAACUGGAGGGAAAAGCUGAUUCUUCUACCUUAGACGUCUCCAGAAAGGCCACCUGAGAUGCCUAUCAUAUAAAUACUAAGGGAGCUGAGGCAGAAGAAUCUCAAGUUUGAGAGCAGCCUGAGUUGCAUGGCAAGUGUGAGACCAGCCAGGACCUUAUUUGAGACUCUACCUCAAUAAAACAAUAUAAAAAUGA